rfam:Schistosoma mattheei strain Denwood, Zambia genome assembly, scaffold: SMTD_scaffold0000003
AUCCAGCUGACGAGUCCCGGAUGGGACGAAAAGCGCGUCCUAUAU